rnacentral:rRNA from 1 species
GUAGAACGCUGAAGAGAGGAGCUUGCUCUUCUUGGAUGAGUUGCGAACGGGUGAGUAACGCGUAGGUAACCUGCCUUGUAGCGGGGGAUAACUAUUGGAAACGAUAGCUAAUACCGCAUAACAAUGGAUGACACAUGUCAUUUAUUUGAAAGGGGCAAUUGCUCCACUACAAGAUGGACCUGCGUUGUAUUAGCUAGUAGGUGAGGUAACGGCUCACCUAGGCGACGAUACAUAGCCGACCUGAGAGGGUGAUCGGCCACACUGGGACUGAGACACGGCCCAGACUCCUACGGGAGGCAGCAGUAGGGAAUCUUCGGCAAUGGGGGCAACCCUGACCGAGCAACGCCGCGUGAGUGAAGAAGGUUUUCGGAUCGUAAARCUCUGUUGUAAGUCAAGAACGAGUGUGAGAGUGGAAAGUUCACACUGUGACGGUAGCUUACCAGAAAGGGACGGCUAACUACGUGCCAGCAGCCGCGGUAAUACGUAGGUCCCGAGCGUUGUCCGGAUUUAUUGGGCGUAAAGCGAGCGCAGGCGGUUUGAUAAGUCUGAAGUUAAAGGCUGUGGCUCAACCAUAGUUCGCUUUGGAAACUGUCAAACUUGAGUGCAGAAGGGGAGAGUGGAAUUCCAUGUGUAGCGGUGAAAUGCGUAGAUAUAUGGAGGAACACCGGUGGCGAAAGCGGCUCUCUGGUCUGUAACUGACGCUGAGGCUCGAAAGCGUGGGGAGCGAACAGGAUUAGAUACCCUGGUAGUCCACGCCGUAAACGAUGAGUGCUAGGUGUUGGAUCCUUUCCGGGAUUCAGUGCCGCAGCUAACGCAUUAAGCACUCCGCCUGGGGAGUACGACCGCAAGGUUGAAACUCAAAGGAAUUGACGGGGGCCCGCACAAGCGGUGGAGCAUGUGGUUUAAUUCGAAGCAACGCGAAGAACCUUACCAGGUCUUGACAUCCCGAUGCUAUUUCUAGAGAUAGAAAGUUACUUCGGUACAUCGGUGACAGGUGGUGCAUGGUUGUCGUCAGCUCGUGUCGUGAGAUGUUGGGUUAAGUCCCGCAACGAGCGCAACCCCUAUUGUUAGUUGCCAUCAUUCAGUUGGGCACUCUAGCGAGACUGCCGGUAAUAAACCGGAGGAAGGUGGGGAUGACGUCAAAUCAUCAUGCCCCUUAUGACCUGGGCUACACACGUGCUACAAUGGUUGGUACAACGAGUUGCGAGUCGGUGACGGCAAGCUAAUCUCUUAAAGCCAAUCUCAGUUCGGAUUGUAGGCUGCAACUCGCCUACAUGAAGUCGGAAUCGCUAGUAAUCGCGGAUCAGCACGCCGCGGUGAAUACGUUCCCGGGCCUUGUACACACCGCCCGUCACACCACGAGAGUUUGUAACACCCGAAGUCGGUGAGGUAACCUUUGGAGCCAGCCG